AUUAGGUUAAUCAAACAAGGCCUAAACGAGUUUGGUAGUUUCGUUUGAUAAAACAUUUAUUUAGGGUUAAAAUGAAACUUGAAAAUUACAAUCUCUUCUUAAAAAUUGGUGAAAAUGUUGAAGAAUAUUGUAUGAUUCUGCAUUUUUUUCCCAUCUCUACUCAAUAAUUCCUUCUUUCUUUAACCCCAUUCUUGUUGAACAAGAUUGAAAGAUACUUCAUAAUCUAUAUAGACUCGUGGCUUCUACUUAUGGGGGUCAAGGCAACUGACUCUGUCGUCCCUUCUCAAAUCCAGCCAUGCAUACAUCUGGCCACUUUUGAAGAAAUGUAGACGAGAUACAAAUAUACAAAGUUGGGUACCUUGCAUCUUUGAAGAAAAUAGAAACAGAUUUUGAACAUACAACACGCAGUGAGCAUGUUGAUGGAAGUCGGAUUGAAUAAGGUUUGGUAUAACUCGUAUGUACGAAGACAAUCUUAGAGUAAUAAGUAAAGGUAUGAAUGAUGAGCAAAAUUUAACUUCUGGCAUGUAGAACUUGAGAAAUCACAUUACUAUCAUUUGAGAAGUUUUUGAUGAUGUACAUGGUGGAUUUAAAUUUAACCCAAUUUUUUCAAUUUUUGAUUUUUAGUUGAAUUUGAUGGUGUAAUUCUCUGGGUCAUGAAAAAUUUAAAUUUAACUUAACUUACAAUCUUUCGGUGUGUAUUUAUGUUUUUGAUAUGAUGUAAGUUGGCAUUAGUUAUGAUGUAAAUUGGCACUAAAUCUAAUUUAAAUCGGUAUUUAAGUUUAAUAUAAGUUGGCAUUGAUAAUGUAAGUUGGCAUUUUAACCUGAUGUGAGUUGGGAUUGUGUUUGUUGUAUGUUGACAUUAUAUAUGUUAUAAGUUGGCAUUAUAAUUGAUAUAAGUUGGCAUUAAUCUGAUAUAAGUGAGUAUUAAGUCUAAUGUAAGUGGAUUUUAAGUCUAAAAUAAAUUAGCAUUGAGUCUGAUGUAACUUGGUAUUAAGUUGAUGUAAGAUGGCAUUUUAAUCUGAUGUAAGUUGACAUUAUAUAUGUUAUAUGUUAUAUGUUGACAUUAUAAUUGUUAUAAGUUGUCAUUAGUCUAAUGUAAGUUGACAUUACUUCUGAUAUAAGUGGGCAUUAAGUCUGGUAUAAGUGAAUUUUAAGUCUAAUAUAAAUUGGCAUUGAGUUGAUGUAGUUGGCAUUAAGUUGAUGUAAGCUGGCGUUAGUCUAAUGGUUGACAAAGUCAUCCAUACUAAUUGCAAACCACAUCUCUUGUGUAAUGAUAAAGAAGAGAUCAAACUUACAUGUGCACAGAUUGUUGCUGUGAAUCAAAUAGGCUUCAGUGGUUAUUAAUGGUUUGAGGAAAAUCAAAGCGAAAAAAUACAUCUCAAAGAAGUAGUGUGUAGGGGAUUGAAUAAAAAAACAAUUUAAUAGUAUGUAUUAAGAAAAUUUAUGAUUAUUAAAUUAUGUAAAAUCGUUUAUUGUUAUUAUUUGUAUAUGUUAUGACAAAUAUUGUGUAUUUUAAAUCCUUUUACAUUUUAAGGAUUUGUGUUUUAAUGCUUA